GUUACAGCAGCCGCGGUAAUACGUAGGCAGCGAGCGUUGUUCGGAGUUACUGGGCGUAAAGGGUGUGUAGGCGGUCGUUUAAGUUUGGUGUGAAAUCUCCCGGCUCAACCGGGAGGGUGCGCCGAAUACUGAAUGACUUGGAGUGCGGGAGAGGUGAGUGGAAUUCCUGGUGUAGCGGUGAAAUGCGUAGAUAUCAGGAGGAACACCGGUGGUGUAGACGGCUCACUGGACCGUAACUGACGCUGAGACACGAAAGCGUGGGUAGCAAACAGGAUUAGAAACCCUCGUAGUCC
rnacentral:rRNA from 1 species